CGAGGCCGAUAGGCGUAGGCGAUGGACAACAGGUAGAGAUUCCUGUACCAGUGCUAAUUGUUUAACCGAUGGGGUGACACAGAAGGAUAGGGAAUCGCACGAAUGGAAAUGUGCGUCCAAGCAGUGAGUGUGAGAAGUAGGCAAAUCCGCUUCUCGCGAAGCAUGAGCUGUGAUGGGGAAGGAAAUUAAGUACGGAAGUUCCUGAUUUCACGCUGUCAAGAAAAGCCUCUAGGAAGAGUAGUACUGCCCGUACCGCAAACCGACACAGGUAGAUGAGGAGAGAAUCCUAAGGUGAGCGAGAGAACUCUCGUUAAGGAACUCGGCAAAAUGACCCCGUAACUUCGGGAGAAGGGGUGCUCUAUUAGGGUGCAAGCCCGAGAGAGCCGCAGUGAAUAGGCCCAGGCGACUGUUUAGCAAAAACACAGGUCUCUGCAAAACCGUAAGGUGACGUAUAGGGGCUGACGCCUGCCCGGUGCUGGAAGGUUAAGAGGAGUGCUUAGCUUCGGCGAAGGUACGAAUUGAAGCCCCAGUAAACGGCGGCCGUAACUAUAACGGUCCUAAGGUAGCGAAAUUCCUUGUCGGGUAAGUUCCGACCCGCACGAAAGGCGCAACGAUCUGGGCACUGUCUCAACGAGAGACUCGGUGAAAUUAUAGUACCUGUGAAGAUGCAGGUUACCCGCGACAGGACGGAAAGACCCCGUGGAGCUUUACUGCAACCUGAUAUGGAAUGUUUGUACCGCUUGUACAGGAUAGGUAGGAGCCGAAGAGACGUGUGCGCUAGCAUACGAGGAGGCAAUGGUGGGAUAC
rnacentral:rRNA from 1 species